CCAAUUCUGAUGUAACAGCCUUGGGAAAGAGGUUGCAGUGAAAAGCUGGUCCUGCUGUGGUGGAGAGAAUGGAGGAAAGAUAAUAAAAGGCCAAACCUUUGCUCCAACUUUCUCCUUAGCUUCCCUUUGGAUCUGGAAAGCUGGGGACCCACACGGCAGAGCCAUGGUACUGGAGGAGCCAUUAACAACGAGGCUCCUUCUGUAAGGUUGCCUGGAUACUGCAUCUGGCUGACAGAGUCCCCAGACAGAACUUGAAUAGGCACUGCCAGGGUGUGUACUUCUAUGACUCUCCUUUUGCAAUGGGCCCACACCACCCACCUCAUUUUUCUAAUAAGAGCUUUCAAUAAACCUCUCUUUCUUGAAGUUACCUGAGAAUGGAUCCAUUCCCUGCAACUGAAGAUUCUAAGGAACUGGGUUUCUCAGUAUACAAUGGGAAUGGUUGGGAGGAGGUAAAGAGUAGAAGACAGUAUCAAGAAUCCAGAGCCCAGCACCUGUAGUCCUAACUAUUCAGAUUCCUUGAGCCCAGGAGUUUGAGUCCAGCCUGGACAACAUAUUGAGACCCCCAUCUCUCUAAAAAAAAAGAGAAAGAAAGAAGGAAAGAAAAAAAGAAAGAAAGAAAGAAAGAAAGAAAGAAAGAAAGAAAGAAAGAAAGAGAAAGAAAGAAGGAAAGAAGGAAAGAAGGAAAGAAAGAAAGAAAGAGAAAGAAAGAAAAGAAGAUUGUAGCUAGGGGGAGAGUAGGUGAAAAGAUGAACAACAUGACCGGGAAGAUUUCCUAAUCUCACCACAGCCUGGCUCUACCUUAAGUCUUUAAUAAAAGCUUGACUGAAGGUACCAAGGUGUGCUGAAGUGGAAGCAAAGUUCUCCAAAGUCCAGCAUGGUAGACAUCAGUGGUGGUAACCAAGGACAGACCCCAAGGCAAGGUGAACCUCAAAAAUGGAACCUCAAGUCUAUGCAGUCCAGCUGCCCUCCCCACCAGAAAGUCCUUGUUCCAGCCCAACAUCAGUGCCUCUGAGUUUGUUUACUAGAAACAAAGGAAGAAUUUCCUUGUAAAAAUAUAGACAGAGUAGUCCCUGGCUUUCUCCUCUUGCAGGAAGGAUGGAUUCUCCCAUUCCAUACCAUCUUUCCCCCACACUGGCCCCAGAAAUACUUAAUUCAACUAUGUGAAAAUAAAGAUUGUUUUUGGUUUGAGGGCAUAGGGAUCCAUUUAUCCUUAUUCUUUAUGAGGCACUAAAUUAGCUUUGUAUGUUAUUAAAUGUGUCUCGUCAAUGCUGUUGGCAUUGUUUCAUUUUAA
ensembl:lncRNA LINC01133 long intergenic non-protein coding RNA 1133